rnacentral:rRNA from 1 species
UACGUAGGGGGCAAGCGUUGUCCGGAAUCAUUGGGCGUAAAGCGCGCGUAGGCGGCCCUGUAAGUCCGUUGUGAAAGUCAAAGGCUCAACCUUUGAAAGCCGAUGGAUACUGCAGGGCUAGAGUCCGGAAGAGGCGAGUGGAAUUCCCAGUGUAGAGGUGAAAUUCGUAGAUAUUGGGAAGAACACCGGUGGCGAAGGCGGCUCUCUGGACCGAUACUGACGCUGAGGCGCGAAAGCGUGGGGAGCAAACAGG